GUGAGGAUACGGCCAGAGUCGGGACGGCAGCAGCAGCUGGUUGUAAUUCCAUCGGAGACGCUGUGAAUGGCGGAGUAGAUGCUAGGAACGGGGGAUGAAUCCUCCACGUCUGUGACACCAGUGAUGUCAGCACUGGGGGAAAAAAUAAUCCUUUGAAUUUAAUUUGAACAUUUAUAUUGGUUGCAUAUGAUUAAAAGCUGUUAAAAUGCCUUUUUUUAAGGAGUAAUCAAAACGGAGUAAAUUUUUUUAUAUCCUCUUUGAUAUGCUGAUGAGCUUCUAUUUGAAUUCAAAAGAUUUAUUACAAAUACCAUACAUACAUUUACGCAUGAACCUUAAUCUCAUAGGGCUGAGUCUACGUUACUGUAUGAACACAUUUGUUAUGAGUUAUAAGAAUACAUGGUAUUUACCUUGUGGGGUAAUCAGUCAGCCACAUGUGCCCCCACCACCCCUGAGAGAGCAGUGUCACCCAUGAUUGCAGCGAUUCUCUCCUCAAACGGGGUGAGGGCCUCUGCGCCGAUUCCUCCGCCUGUUUUGGCCACACUUUGGCGGUGGGCAGCUGUCCUCCGCUUCACAUCCACCUUAAUGUCUGACCACUUCUUCUUUUUUUGUUCAGCGUAUGGGCACUAUUCAGACUCCACAGCAUUGACAGCUACACAGACGUUGUCCCAUUCACUCCUCUUUCGCUUGUUGUUAACGCCGGAGGAAAGCGUGCCAAAAGAGGAUUUUCUUUGCGAUCGGGAUCUCAGGUGCAGUGUUCAUUUAAAUAUGAUUUCCAUAUUUAAAUGUGGACGUGGACAAGGAAGGGUCGGCUACUCCAACAUGUGCACUCAAUUCUACAUUGAUUGAGAUGUACAAAGGAAAUGUGCUUGGAUUCAUACGUAUGCACAGAUUCAUACAUCAGGAUAUUUUUGUGCAUUGUUUUCUGGAUUUGAGCGUACGCCAUAUUUCAGUAGGAAAUCCAUGCAAGUCUUUGUACAUGAGGCCCCUGGACUCUAAGGACUCAUGUCAGAAUGCUGUUCAUAGACUUAAGAUCAGCAUUCAAUACCAUCAUCCCUAAACAACUGACCUACAAACUGGACCAGCUGGGGCUCAACACUUCAAUGUGCAACUGGCUGCUAGACUUUCUGACAGGGAGACCGCAGGCAGUACGGGUCGGCAGCAACACAUUCAGCACCUUCACGCUGAACACGGGGGCCCCUCAAGGCUGUGUGUUGACCCCCCUCCUCUUCACCCUGCUGACCUAUGACUGCACACCGACAUACAGCUCCAACCUCUUCAUCAAGUUUGCAGACGACACAACUGUGGUGGGUCUCAUCAGCAACGGGGACGAGACUGACUACAGGAGUGAGGUGAGCCGCCUGGCCUAGUGGUGCAUCGACAACAAUCUCUCCCAGAACGUGGAGAAAAAAACAAGAAGAUUAUUGUGGACUUCAGGAGAGUGCACUCCCAGCAUGCUCCCCUGAACAUCAACGGUGCUGCGGUGGAGAGGGUGCACAGCACCAAGUUCCUGGGAGUGCACAUCACCGAGGACCUCUCCUGGACAAGCAACACCUCAUCACUGGCCAAGAAGCCUCACCAGCUUCUCUACUUCCUGCGCAAGCUGAGAAGAGCCAGAGCCCCGCCCCGCAUCAUGUGCUCGUUCUACAGAGGGACCACAGAGCGCAUCUUGACCAACUGCAUUACUGUGUCAUACAGAGCCUGCACUGCAUCCUGCCGCAAGACUCUCCAUCGCAUAGUGAGGGCAGCUGAGAAGAUCAGAACCUCUCUUCCCUUCCUGCAGGACAUUUACAGCAACCGCCUAUUAUUUACCAUAAUUUCUCGUUUAUAAUGCGCAUUUCCCCCCCCCCCCACAAAUAUUUUUUAUUUUUUUUGUCAAAAGUCAAUAGGGCGCAUUAUACAUAAGUAUAGGGGCAAAUGGAAAAAAUCUUUCACAUUUUAUAAAUGUAUGCCGCCAUCUAGUGGUUAUGAAAAAGCUGUACACAUUCAUUCCAAUAUGCCACUGCCACCUAGUGGUUAUAAAAAAGGUGUAGCCUACUCUUUCAUUCCAAUAUGACAGGGGUACGUAUGACUGCAUAUAUGUACAGUUGUGCUCAUAAGUUUACAUACGCUGGCAGAAUUUGUUUUUUUUUAAAUAUGACUGACUGAGCAAGAACCAUCAUUAAUUUCUUUAUGGUUUGUUUAAUGGUAAUGCUUUUAUGAAAUGCUUGACCGUUUAAUUUGAAAAUCCCUGCAAUAUUACAGUGAAAGAUUUAAGGGGGUCUGAAUACUUUCCAUACCCACUAUAUAUAUAUAUGUGUGUGUGUGUGUGUGUGUAGUAUCUAUCGACAGCAGUUGAUGACAUAAAUAUUGUGAGCGCUGUGAAGAAUCUUGGAAUCUUGAAUGUGAGACGCAUCUUCAAACAACAAAAGAUUAACAAAGUGGCAGGCCUAGACAGGCCAGCUCGCUCCAGUCUUCACACAGAUCUUCAAUAGAUCUCUGGAACUGUGCGAAGUACCAUCCUGUUUCAAACGCUCCACCAUCAUCCCAGUCCCCAAGAAACCUGCAAUCUCGGGUCUGAAUGACUACAGGCCUGCCUCCUUGACAUCUGUGGUCAUGAAGUCCUUUGAACGCCUCGUGCUGGACCACCUCAAGCGUGUCACAGGUCCCCUGCUGGACCCCCUGCAGUUUGCCUACUGAGCAAACAGGUCCACGGAUGAUGCCGUCAACAUGGGACAGCACUUCAUCCUAGAACACCUCGACAGCGCGGAGACCUACGCGAGGAUCCUAUUCGUGGACUUCAGCUCUGCGUUCAACACCAUCAUCACCUGAAGUGGGCGAUCAACAUCAACUCCGUCCUCAAAAAGGCCCAGCAGAGGAUGUACUUCCUGCGGCUUCUGAGGAAGCACGGCCUGCCACUGGAGCUGUUGAGGCAGUUCUACACAGCGGUCAUCAAAUCAGUCCUUUGUUCUUCCAUCACAGUCUGGUUUGGUGCUGCUGCAAAAAAGGACAAACUCUGACUGCAACGGACAAUCAAAACUGCUGAAAAGAUUGUCGGUACCCCCCCUACCCACUCUUGCACGCUGCCAGAACUAAGACAAGAGCGUGCAAAAUACUCUUGGACCCUCCACAUCCUGGUCACCAGCUCUUCCAGCUCCUUCCCUCAUGUAGGCGCUACCAAUCAAUGCAAACUAGAACUACAGACAUUCCAACAGCUUCUUCCCUCUUCCCAUCAACUUCUUAAACAGCUAACCUACAAUUCCAUUGUAACAUACUGCCAAUUUCUUUGUCUUGAGUUUGUUGUCACAUUUCUAUCGGGCCAAUUAUACAUUACUCGUGCACUCACUGUAGUAGUCUCGCCACACUGCACUAUUUGCAUAUCUGUUGUUGACCAAUACUGGCCACUCAUGUGCCUGAGUAGCAUCUGCACCAUUUGCACAAUCAACUGUGUAGUAUCUCCAACAUUGUCCCAGAUUGUCGCACUACUAGUCACUUUAAACUGCAUACAUUUCUUGAAGUCUCAGCGCCCUUUGCACAAUGAUCAUUGCACCGGACUAUUGCUCUAUUAGUCAUUCAAACGGCUCUCAGUGCUAGAGAACUCUGCUGCAUCUUGCACAAUUGUCCAAAAAAAAAGAAAAAUGUACGGGCAUUACUAGAUUACUAGUAACCUUUUAUUGCUCAGUGACUGUUUUUCUCAAUGUCUUUAUGUCUCAAAUGUAUUCUCUGUCAAUUGACUGUCUGUUGUCGUACUAGAGCGGCUCCAACUACCGGAGACAAAUUCCUUGUGCGUUUUUGACAUACUGGGCAAAAUAAAGAUUAUUCUGAUAUUCA